CUCUAUGUAGCUUACCCAAAAGCAAUGGCCUUUUAAGCCAAAGACGGGCCACCUCAGCCCCACAGAAC
rnacentral:tRNA from 1 species